AAAGCGAGUGCCGUGGGAGAAGAGCAACCCAGCAGGGAAGAGAGCCGUCAGCGGGGGAGAGGCCGAAUCUGGGCACAGGGUGUGCCGGGCUGUGCUCCCCGAGGAGCGAACAGUCCGCGAAGAACUGAAGCAGAGGCACAGUUGAUUCUGCUGGCACUUCCAGCCAUGCCAUUGGGAGUGGCCUCUUGCUCACCUGCUCUCCUCCCCGGGCUCCCACGAACAGAGCACACCCGACACCCGAAGGGUCCGGAAGAGGAAGAGGACGGGGACAACCCGGAGGACUGCGCGAGGCCUCCUGCAGGAGGAUCCGGGACAUCGGGCAGAUAAUCCAGGCUAAAGCAACACAUAAGGAAUAGUCACCUACGACGCACUUCGCGGGAGGUGUCGGCACUACGUCAUCCUCGUGGCAACCCUAUUAAACAGACGGGGUCGCGCCAGGCUGACCCGCGAGGACAGCGAGACGCGGGAGGCCCGGGGAGCCGCGGGGGCUGCUUCGUCAUCCGACUCGUAGUGGGGGCAGGAGCCAGCCAGUGCUCAGCAUCACCACCCUGUGGCUGACGAGGCUAAGUGACUUGCCCAGGGUCACGCAGCCAGUCAGUGGCGGAGCCUGUGGGAACCCGCAAAAGCCACGCAGGUGCCACUCGCCGGCGCUUUCUCCACCUGAAGGAAAACCGUGGUGUGUGGCUUGGCCUGGAAGGCCCCGCACGAGUCCAGGCGGCCGAGGUCCAGCCCCGGGGUGGCUCUGGGCCCUUCUCGACGUCUCUGGAAGACUGACGCUCGGGGAGCAGACUGGCUACCGACCCCACCGCCUGCCGCUGCCCGGCUGACCCUCUGCAGCAGGUCCCGCCACCGGGCAGCCCACCCUGAGGGCGACAGUGGGCACUAAGCAGCCGGAGGUCCCUAACCCGCCGCCCCUGCACCCCAGCCCUGUGGCCUGGUCACGACUUCCAGGAAGGCCCUGACUUGCCCCGACGUCCCUCCUGUGCAGAGCAGGUUUGUCCCAUGCCAUGGCUGCAAUGGCGGGGACAGGGACAGCAGACAGAGGGCCUGGGGAGCACAGCGGGUGCCACCUGCACGCUGGGGUGAUCUGGACCCACCUGCCCCUCGCCAGCUGUGACCCGGGCACGCAGCUGGGCACCUGCAGCCUCCCGGGUCUCCACGGCAGGGCCCGCACUCCCGAUCCCAGGACGCCUGGGCUGCUGCGAGGCCAGGGCACCUGCACCCAGGAGGCCUCCAGGAAGGAGCCACCGCUUUGCUUCAACGCCCGCAGCAAACAAACAAAAAACCCGACCCGAGGCUGGCAGCCCAUUCAUUCCUUCACGAGGAGGCUUCAGCCGGGAUCUGUUUGUUUUCCAUCAAUGGAAACCAAAACCGACCCUUGCAAGAUGGAGAUAUUUCACCAGAGGCCUCAGGACGUCUUCUAUCCCCUCUGAUGCUAUUUCCACGGAAAGGCCAAGAUUUCCUUCCGGUGCCUGAGACGGGAGGAUGAGCUCAGGGAGGACUUCACGGGCCUCCGCUGGGCUCUGGGAGCUGCAGGCCUGUGCUCCUUCCCAAGUCCCAGUACCCAAUUCCACGGCUCUCAACGCCGGCUGCACCUUAGAACCUUCUGGAAGAGACUCUAAAAUACAGACGCUCAGGCCGCGCCCCCGAGAGCCCGAUGGAAGUGGUCGGCGCGCUGGCGUCCGGGUAACAGAUGAUUGUUUUCCUUCGUGGGUGGAGACAGAAGGGGGUUAUAAUAACCAGAAGGUUCUGGGUCAAUCGGCUCCAACAAUCGACUGGCCAGGUGAGAGAAACUCCGUAAAAGAUUGAUCUGACCCAUGGGUGAUCCCUGUUUCCUGCAAAUAGACUAUUUUCAGGCCCGGCCUGAGAGAGGGCCCGAGCUGGCGGCGGCGGGAGGCCAGUCGGCCAAGGACGCAGCCCGGAGCGUGGGAAUCCCGAAGGGCCUAGGCUCUUCCACGUGCCAUCAGUCUCUCCAUUUGCCACCGAGGUCGGGAAGACACAGACUCCCCCAAGGGCUCCGUGUCAGCGUGACGCAGGGACAGGAGGACCCGGGGAAAGUCCAAGCAGUCUCAUAAGUCAGAAAAGACCGACUUCUGGGACCCCUGGGGGGCUCAGCGGUUUGGCGCCUGCCUUCGGCCCAGGGCGUGAUCCUGGAGACCCAGGAUCGAGUCCCACGUCGGGCUCCCUGCGUGGAGCCUGCUUCUCCCUCUGCCUGGGUCUCUGCCUCUCUCUCUCUGCAUCUCUCAUGAAUAAAUAAAAUCUUCAAAAAAAAAAAAAAAAAAAAGACCGACUUCUUUAUGAAAACACCCAGUGAUUUCCCAACACUCAGAAGAAAUCCAGAGAGUCUGUUUCAUUAAAAAAUAAACUGUGACGGUCUGACUGCUCACGAGGCUUAACCCGCUCUCUCGCUCCUUCGCGUGAAGCUGUGAGACCCACCACCGCGUCCCGCACACACACGGAAGCGGAGAAGCCGUCUAUUUUCAUUUCACCCCUGGUGACACAAUUCAGGUGGUUUUGGUAUUGGUUGAUUUUGUAGCCGGAACAGUGAUUCCCCCCAAAUGUCUGCGGUGGGACCGACCCUGGGACGGGAGCGCCAGGUGGUUCUGGGCACCUCGGGCCGUCACCUACCCCCGUCGUAGACGAGCGCAGCCGUACGAAAUGGACACAAGAUUCUACUUAAUGUAAAAAUGCAUGAAAUCGCCUUACACGUGAAACUGCUGUGUUUCCCCUUGGCAAUAGAAAGAUUAACAUUUCUGUACGGGGAAUGGUUUUGAUCUUGCCUUCCGGCUGCAGUAUUUACAUUCCAGUAAAGUUCAUCUGGAUCAGUUAGUAGUCACAUGAACCAAUGUGCAGCCCAAGAUCAUGCUCUUUUUUUUCUUUUUCUUUUUUUUAAUUCAAGAUCAUGCUCUUAAAUAAAGUCGUCAUCAAAAAAAAUGGGGUUGGGCGGGGGGGCGGGGGCUGCUUAUCCUAAUGAUCUAAAGAUGAAAAUCUCAAAGAGGCAGAAAUGUUCCUUAAUGUGGAUUUUUUGUCAUAUACUCUGGUCAAAAACCAGGAAAAAAAAGAUUAUUUCAGGACUAGAACAAGGCAUGAACAAACUGGUUAGAGAUGAGACUGAGAAAACAUCUGGUCAACCCAGAUACAUUGUCCUGCAAAGAUGAGAGACGGGUCUGUGGUUCAAAAAAUUAAAAUUAAAAAAAAUUUUAAUUGAAAUUUUAAUUUUAUUUAAAAAUUAAAAAAAAUUUUAAAU